CAGCCGCCGCGGUAAUACGAAGGGGGCUAGCGUUGCUCGGAAUGACUGGGCGUAAAGGGCGCGUAGGCGGAUGGCACAGUCAGAUGUGAAAUUCCCGGGCUUAACCUGGGGCUGCAUUUGAUACGUGUUGUCUAGAGUGAGGAAGAGGGUUGUGGAAUUCCCAGUGUAGAGGUGGAAUUCGUAGAUAUUGGGAAGAACACCGGUGGCGAAGGCGGCAACCUGGUCCUUGACUGACGCUGAGGCGCGAAAGCGUGGGGAGCAAACAGGAUUAGAUACCCGUGUAGUCCCUGUCUCUUAUACC
rnacentral:rRNA from 1 species